GAUGAACGCUGGCGGCGUGCUUAACACAUGCAAGUCGAACGAGAAAUGUAGACGGAAACCUUCGGGCGGAAGCCUUCAUUUCGAGUGGCGGACGGGGGAGUAACGCGUGGGUAACCUGCCUCAUACAGGGGGAUAACAGUUGGAAACGACUGUUAAUACCGCAUAAGACCACAGCAUCGCAUGAUGCGGGGGUAAAAACUCCGGUGGUAUGAGAUGGACCCGCGUUCGAUUAGCCAGUUGGCGGGGUAACGGCCCACCAAAGCGACGAUCGAUAGCCGAUCUGAGAGGAUGACCGGCCACAUUGGGACUGAGACACGGCCCAAACUCCUACGGGAGGCAGCAGUGGGGAAUAUUGCACAAUGGGGGAAACCCUGAUGCAGCGACGCCGCGUGAGUGAAGAAGUACUUCGGUAUGUAAAGCUCUAUCAGCAGGGAAGAAAAUGACGGUACCUGAGUAAGAAGCCCCGGCUAACUACGUG
rnacentral:rRNA from 1 species